GUCUUCUGCUAGUCAGCUGAACACUGAGAUUGGAAGAGUUGGCUUUUCCUUUUAUCAUUUCCAGCUGAAGGGCCUUCUCAAGGAGUCCCCUUUGUUGUUCUCCAGCAGCCAGGACAUCAAAGCAUGCCCUGCAUCUUUCCAUCCCUCUUUUGUUGCAGAGGAGGGCCAGCUGCCUCCAUACCUUUUUCUUCCUGAGCAGCCUAUCCCACAGGAAGUAUUUCCAAGAGAAUCUGUAUCACUGAAAUCUUCUUCAUAAACCACUUAAAUACAGAAUCAAAGACUCACCUUUAGACAUCUCCAUUGAAGUUGUUUUCAAAGAAAAAUAUGAAGAGAAAAACUCUGCUCUCCCUUAUACGCUUUUAAAUCUGGUGCAACUCUACUGAAAUCAAGAGCUAAAACUGAAAUAAAUGCAUUUCAAAAAUGAAAAACA
rnacentral:lncRNA from 1 species